rnacentral:rRNA from 1 species
CGGGUGAGUAACGCGUAGGUAACCUGCCCCAUACAGAGGGAUAGCCACUGGAAACGGUGAUUAAUACCUCAUAAAACUGAGAAUACACAUGUAUGCUCAGCCAAAGAUUUAUCGGUAUGGGAUGGACCUGCGUCUGAUUAGUUAGUUGGUGAGGUAACGGCUCACCAAGGCGACGAUCAGUAGCCGACCUGAGAGGGUGAUCGGCCACAUUGGAACUGAGACACGGUCCAAACUCCUACGGGAGGCAGCAG